rnacentral:rRNA from 1 species
CCUACGGGAGGCAGCAGUAGGGAAUAUUGCUCAAUGGGGGAAACCCUGAAGCAGCAACGCCGCGUGGAGGAUGAAGGUUUUCGGAUUGUAAACUCCUUUUGUUAGAGAAGAUAAUGACGGUAUCUAACGAAUAAGCACCGGCUAACUCCGUGCCAGCAGCCGCGGUAAUACGGAGGGUGCAAGCGUUACUCGGAAUCACUGGGCUUAAAGGGCGCGUAGGCGGGAUAGCAAGUCAGAUGUGAAAUCCUAUGGCUUAACCAUAGAACUGCAUUUGAAACUGUUAUUCUAGAGUAUGGGAGAGGUAGGUGGAAUGCUUGGUGUAGGGGUAAAAUCCGUAGAGAUCAAGAAGAAUACUGAUUGCGAAGGCGGCCUGCUAGAACAUAACUGACGCUGAUGCGCGAAAGCGUGGGGAGCAAACAGGAUUAGAUACCCCAGUAGUC